UCAAUAAUGCCGUCAAGAUGUUCGACGCUUUGUCCAAAGAUGGCCUAACACAUGAGGCCUUGGAGCUUUUCUCUCAGAUCAAGGACAAGGGACAUAUGCCUGACGUGGUGGCCCACACUGCCGUCGUUGAGGCUUAUGCCAAUGCCGGUCAGUCCAAGGAGGCUCUCAAGGUCUUCCUGCGCAUGCUGGCCUGCGGAGUUGCUCCUAAUGCAUAUACUUACACCCUCCUCAUUAAGGCACUUGCUGCUGAUGGGAAACUAGCGGAUGCCAAUAAAUAUAUCUUGGAAAUGAUGAGCAAGGGAAUGCGUCCCAAUGCUGCUACAUACGCUGCAGUGUUUGAGGCAUAUGCAAAGGAGCAGAAGGAGG
rnacentral:misc_RNA from 1 species